UACAGAGGUCUCAAGCGUUGUUCGGAUUCAUUGGGCGUAAAGGGUGCGUAGGCGGCGCGGUAAGUCGGGUGUGAAAUCUUGGAGCUUAACUCCGAAACUGCAUUCGAUACUGCCGUGCGUUGAGGACUGGAGAGGAGACGUGGAAUUUACGGUGUAGCGGUGAAAUGCGUACGAUAUCGAUAAGGAAGACCAGUGGCGAAGGCGGGU
rnacentral:rRNA from 1 species